rnacentral:rRNA from 1 species
AUUGAACGCUGGCGGCAGGCCUAACCCAUGCAAGUCGAGCGAGCGGCGGACGGGUGAGUAAUGUCUGGGAAACUGCCUGAUGGAGGGGGAUAACUACUGGAAACGGUAGCUAAUACCGCAUACCAUCAGAUGUGCCCAGAGGGGAUUAGCUAGUAGGUGGGGUAACGGCUCACCUAGGCGACGAUCCCUCGCUGGUCUGAGAGGAUGACCAGCCACACGGGAACGGAGACACGGUCCAGAUGCCUACGGGAGGCAGCAGUAGGAAAUAUGGCACAAUGGGCGAAAGCCGGAUGCAGCCAGGCCGAGUGUGUGAAGAAGGCCUUCGGGUUGUAAAGCACUUUCAGCGGGGAGGCGUUACCCGCAGAAGAAGCACCGGCUAACUCCGUGCCAGCAGCCGCGGUAAUUC